rnacentral:rRNA from 1 species
UACGGGGGGGGCAAGCGUUGUUCGGAAUUACUGGGCGUAAAGGGCUCGUAGGCGGCCAACUAAGUCGGAUGUGAAAUCCCCAAGCUUAACUUGGGAACUGCAUCCGAUACUGGAUGGCUUGAAUCCGGGAGAGGGAUGCAGAAUUCCAGGUGUAGCGGUGAAAUGCGUAGAUAUCUGGAGGAAUACCGGAGGCGAAGGCGGCAUCCUGGACCGGCAUUGACGCUGAGGAGCGAAAGCUAGGGGAGCAAACGGG